UACAGGGGGUGCAAACGUUGCUCGGAAUCAUUGGGCGUAAAGCGCACGUAGGCGGUUUGUUAUGUCGGAUGUGAAAGCCCUUGGCUCAACUGAGGAAGUGCAUCCGAAACUGGCAAGCUAGAGUACUAAAGAGGGUCGCGGAAUUCCCGGUGUAGAGGUGAAAUUCGCAGAUAUCGGGAGGAACACCUAUGGCGAAGGCAGCUCGCUGGGACGUUACUGACGCUGAGACGCGAAAGCGUGGGGAGCAAACAGG
rnacentral:rRNA from 1 species